rnacentral:pre_miRNA from 1 species
UUUCUACUCCCUCCAUCCCAAAAUUCUUGUCUUAAAUUUGUCUAAACACGGAUGUAUCAAGUCACGUUUUAGUACUAGAUGCAUCCGUAUCUAGACAAAUGUAAGACAAGAAUUUUGGGACGGAAGGAGUAGAUU